ACACUUUUAAGACACACCCCUAACUAUACAGGCCUUAGUCUAUAAAAAGGGCUGGUCUACUGUGUUUCUGCACUGCAGCAUAUAUCUAAUGAUUUUUGACGCUCUCUCCUUUCAAGACUAGCAAUAAAAAAAAAUGUCACAAACACAGUCUGAGAAAUGUGUUUGCGAACUCGUAAACACCUUCAAGAAGUUUGCUGCAGAAGGAGGAAAUAAAGAAGGACUAGAAGUAGAUGAAUUCAAGCGGAUGGUUCAGACUUGUUUUCCAAACCUUGUUAAGGGGAAGGACCUUGAUGAAAUGAUGCAUGACUUGGAUAAAGACCACAAUGGUUUCCUGAAUCAGAAGGAGUAUGGAAAAUGUAUAGGAAAAUUGAUUAAUAAGUGCAAAUAAUCUUGUAACAGAUAAAAUAAAUUAUUAGUAAACUAUUAAUUGUCUUAAAUGUUGGUGCCUUUUGAAAUUCAGAAGAUCAAACAUAUGUAUUGUGUAAUGUAAUGCACAUGAUGUCAAUAAAGUUCUACAUUGAUAUUUA